rnacentral:rRNA from 1 species
AGCGAACGCUGGCGGCAGGCCUAACACAUGCAAGUCGAACGAACCUUUCGGGGUUAGUGGCGGACGGGUGAGUAACACGUGGGAACGUGCCUUUAGGUUCGGAAUAACUCAGGGAAACUUGUGCUAAUACCGAAUGUGCCCUUCGGGGGAAAGAUUAAUCGCCUUUAGAGCGGCCGGCGUCUGAUUAGCUAGUUGGUUGAGGUAAUGGCGCGCCAAGGCGACGAUCAGUAGCUGGUCCGGGAGGCUGGGCAGCCACGUCGGGCCUGAGACGCGGCCCGAGCUGCUGCGGGAGGCAGCAGUGGGGAAUCGUGCGCAGUGGGCGAGAGCCGGACGGAGCCGUGCCGCGUGAGUGAUGAAGGUCUGAGGAUUGUAAAAUGCUUUCGGCGGGGACGAUAAUGACGGUACCCGGAGAAGAAGCCCCGGCUAACUUCGUG